rnacentral:rRNA from 1 species
AGAAUCAACGCUGGCGGCGUGCCUAACACAUGCAAGUCGCACGAGAAAGGGGACUUCGGUCCCUGAGUACAGUGGCGCACGGGUGAGUAACACGUGAAUAAUCGUACCUCCGAGUGGGGAAUAACUGAGAGAAAUCUUAGCUAAUACCGUCAUAACACUUACGAGUCAAAGCAGCAAUGCGCUUGGAGAGGAGUUCGCGGCAGAUUAGUUAGUUGGCGGGGUAAUGGCCCACCAAGACGAUGAUCUGUA